UUCCUCAAGACGGAUUUGAACCAGCGACCUAUGGAUUAAUAUCUUUGCAUCUAGUCCACUGUUCGGCCAACUAAGCUAACGAGAGA